rnacentral:sRNA from 1 species
GGCAACAGUCGUAGCCAGAAUAAGGAAGC